CGCAAUCUCAAAUGGUUCAGUGCAAUGCUCUUCAAAGAAGGCAGUGAUGGUGGCUUGUCCUACCUCUAUAUUUUGGGUACCAAGGACUCGGGGAAGUGCCUGGUGCGUUUGUAUGCAUUGCAGGAUGGUGUUUGGUGCCUGCAUACCGCAGCCACAUGCCAGCGCCGUCUUAUCCAUUGGGAACCAAAAGUUGUGCUUGUUGACAACAAAAUCUAUAUACCAUCCGUCAGUGACGAGAUUGUUUGUCUUGGAUAUGAAGACCUCAAGUUUCUCCACAAUUCAGCUCCCACAAGGAGUAAGCUAUAACUAUUUUAGAACCAUGUUGUCACCGGCCGAUAAUGCUUCCGGUGUAUAUCUCAUCCAUGUCGACGGAUUUCCACUUCGCCUCUGGCUCACAAAAGGGGACAACUGGUUGCUGGUCGAUACCAUUUGUUUGAGGAUGUUAGAUCACACGCUUGAGGAUGAGCAUAAUGCAAAUGUCCAGAUAAGUCAGGUUGGAAACAAUGCUGAGUUUGUUUUCUUGAGGAUGCGUGGAUGCACACUCUAUCUGGACGUCACGAGCAAGACACUGCGUAAAGUGCAUCAGGAGACAUAAAAUGAUCAAUAUUUCAGUUAUGCCAAGCCUUUUAUGACGAUUUGGCCUCCCAUAUUUCCUGUGCUCAAGGAUGAUCCUUCAAGGGAUGCCAUGUGAAGAACAAGGACAUGUCGGAGCUUUUGGAUGGCGAGUAACCAAGGCUACAGCAAGGAAGAGAAGAGAGCUACAUUUCCUUCCUGCAAUUCUAGUAACUAUCGUUGUUAUAACUUUGUCGAGUAAUGGAAUAAUUAGGAUAAUAUGUAACAGAAGUAUGUACCCCUAUCAUAUGUAUCAUGACAACUGUUUGCGACUGAGCUCUGUGUUUCGUGAAGGACUCCUUGUUUGUAUGUUUAUUAGUGAUAUUGUCUGAUCC